rnacentral:rRNA from 1 species
GCCCAGACUCCUACGGGAGGCAGCAGUGGGGAAUAUUGCACAAUGGGGGGAACCCUGAUGCAGCGACGCCGCGUGGGUGAAGGAGCACCUCGGUGCGUAAAGCCCUAUCGGCAGGGAAGAAACAGACGGUACCUGACUAAGAAGCCCCGGCUAACUACGUGCCAGCAGCCGCGGUAAUACGUAGGGGGCGAGCGUUAUCCGGAUUCACUGGGUGUAAAGGGAGCGUAGACGGCCAAGCAAGCCAGGGGUGAAAGCCCGGGGCCCAACCCCGGGACUGCCCUUGGAACUGCAUGGCUGGAGUGCGGGAGGGGCAGGCGGAAUUCCUGGUGUAGCGGUGAAAUGCGUAGAUAUCAGGAGGAACACCGGCGGCGAAGGCGGCCUGCUGGACCGCGACUGACGUUGAGGCUCGAAAGCGUGGGGGGCGAACAGGAUUAGAUACCCGCGUA